rnacentral:lncRNA from 1 species
GCCACUAAGCACCAGCCUCCUAGGAAUUCAUUGAAAUCCUAUAUAAUAACUAUUUUUUUAUAAUAAAAAAACUUGUUCCUUUAAAUUGAGGAGAAACUCCUUCUUACAAUCAAUAUGAUUUUGAUACAUGUCAAUAUUUUUUUUUUCUUUUCUCUUUUUUGUUGAAACUUUAUCGGAUAAUACCUCCCUCCUUGCUCAUAAGAAGGAACUCUUCCUUACCUACUAAUGUGGCUCAAUCAUAAUCUAACAUGUGUCUCUCUUGUUAAGAAUAAUUAAAAUGAAAAAUAAAUGCAUCUUCGAGAAUUU